rnacentral:rRNA from 1 species
GCCCUAGUAACGGCGANUGAAGCGGCAACAGCUCAAAUUUGAAAUCUGGCGCAAGCCCGAGUUGUAAUUUGUAGAGGAUGCUUCUGGGUAGCGGCCGGUCUAAGUUCCUUGGAACAGGACGUCAUAGAGGGUGAGAAUCCCGUAUGUGACCGGCUUGCACCCUCCACGUAGCUCCUUCGACGAGUCGAGUUGUUUGGGAAUGCAGCUCUAAAUGGGAGGUAAAUUUCUUCUAAAGCUAAAUACCGGCCAGAGACCGAUAGCGCACAAGUAGAGUGAUCGAAAGAUGAAAAGCACUUUGGAAAGAGAGUUAAAAAGCACGUGAAAUUGUUGAAAGGGAAGCGCCCGCAACCAGACUUUGCGGCGGUGUUCGGCCGGUCUUCUGACCGGUUUACUCGCCGCCGUGAGGCCAUCAUCGUCUGGGACCGCUGGAUAAGACCUGAGGAAUGUAGCUCCCUUCGGGGUGUGUUAUAGCCUCUGGUGAUGCAGCGCGUCCCGGGCGAGGUCCGCGCUUCGGCAAGGAUGAUGGCGUAAUGGUUGUCGGCGGCCCGUCUUGAAACACGGACCAAGGAGUCUAACAUCUAUGCGAGUGUUCGGGUGUCAAACCCCUACGCGUAAUGAAAGUGAACGGAGGUGGGAACUUUUUGUGCACCAUCGACCGAUCCUGAUGUCCUCGGAUGGAUUUGAGUAAGAGCAUAGCUGUUGGGACCCGAAAGAUGGUGAACUAUGCCUGAAUAGGGUGAAGCCAGAGGAAACUCUGGUGGAGGCUCGCAGCGGUUCUGACGUGCAAAUCGAUCGUCAAAUUUGGGUAUA